AGUGCGCCCUGUCCCUUUAAAAAGGGGGCGGAUCCCUGACCCAAACAGAUUGCUCCACUGAUGCUACAGCCAACGCUGCUCCCAGCUGCUCCUCGCUGUGGUUUCUCUGUUUUUGACACUCCACCGCUGCUUAAUUUACUCUAAUGCCUUCACCAUAGAUCACUUUGGCUUCUUACAACUCGAUUUACAACUCAUAACCUGGUGGACAUUCCCUAUAUGCUCUCUCAAAUCAUCUACUCAUCGGUCAGGUUUUUUUUGUUGUGUGCUGUUCCUUUGACUGUCCAUUGGGUGGCGAGCUACCAGAGAACCACCGAUACAGUGUGGUAGGAAAAAGUUCUCACAAACCUGGAUCCUCUGAUUUUGUUUUCCCAACGGACCUCAUGAACUGUGAACCUUUUACUAAUUGAACUGAAGAG